rnacentral:rRNA from 1 species
CCCCUAGAUGUUCUGGGCCGCACGCGCGCUACACUGAACAGUUCAACAAGUCUUAACCUUGGCCGAUAGGUCUGGGUAAUCUUUGAACGCUGUUCGUGAUUGGGAUAGACCUUUGCAAUUAUGGGUCUUCAACGAGGAAUUCCUAGUAAACGCAAGUCAUCAGCUUGCAUUGAUUACGUCCCUGCCCUUUGUACACACCGCCCGUCGCACCUACCGAUUGAAUGGUCCGGUGAAAUCUCGGGACGGCGGCUUGGUCGCUUGCGUCCGACUGCUGAAACUUGAUUAAACCAUAUCAUUUAGAGCAAGGUGAAGUCGUANCA